rnacentral:misc_RNA from 1 species
GGGCUUUUAGCAGUAAAAAUAAUGUAUCCGCAUCCGAAUUCAUGCGCGCAGCCGUAUGAAUCCGAAUCCGAAAACAAGUUCCUUCUGUCUCCUCCCCAGCUCUGAGCCCUGUGUCUUUAUUCUUUUUCAUUACCAUCCUUAAAGUAACGCCACCAACAAUAAAUAUUCCCAACUUCUCUCGCUUGUGUUUGACAUUCUCCUUUCAGUCGAUCGCAGCCAUGGACUUGCCAAAACCACAAUCAAAUGCCCGCUUCACCCUUGGUAAGCAGUCCUCACUGAAGCCGGAGGGUGAGGGCUUGUCACCGGAGGAGGAAGAGGCUAUAAUAGACCCCAGAAUUCGGUUAAUGUAUCUUGCGAAUGAGGGAGAAAUGGAAGGGAUUAAGGAGAUCCUGGACUCGGGGACCAAUGUUAAUUUUAGAGAUAU